rnacentral:misc_RNA from 1 species
GAAAUGCGAUAAGUAGUGUGAAUUGCAGAAUUCAGUGAAUCAUCGAAUCUUUGAACGCACAUUGCGCCCCUUGGUAUUCCAUGGGGCAUGCCUGUUCGAGCGUCAUUUGUACUCUCAAGCUAUGCUUGGUGUUGGGUGUUUUGUCCUUUCUUCCAUGUCUGGACUCGCCUUAAAGUCAUUGGCAGCCGAUAUAUUGGUUUCGACGCGCAGCACAUUUUGCGCUUCUAGCUCAACAUAUCAGUAUCCAUUAAGCAAUUUAACACGCUUGACCUCGGAUCAGGUAGGGAUACCCGCUGAACUUAA